rnacentral:rRNA from 1 species
CAAGAGCGUAUAUUAAAGUUGUUGCAGUUAAAAAGCUCGUAGUUGAAACUCCGGCGUUAUUCGCCUGUCUGGAAAGAGUCGCUAUACUGUAAAAAGUUUGGCGGCUUCGAACAGACUUUUACCGUGAACAAAUUAAAGUGCUCAAAGCAGGCUUUUGCUUGAAUAGUAUAGCAUGGAAUAAUAGAAUACGACCUUAUUCAUUUUAUUGGUUAUUGAAUAAAGUAAUGAUUAACAGGAACAGUUGGGGGCAUCCGUAUUUGAAAGUCAGAGGUAAAAUUCUUUUGUCUUUCAAAGACGAACUAAAGCGAAAGCAUUUGCCAAGGAUGUUUUCAUUAA